CGCGGGGCAGGAAGGGCGGAAGCGCGCGCGGGCGGCCAUGGAGGCGGCGUCGGUGCCGGCCGCCUCGGCGUCGGGCGCGGCGGUGCGCGGGCCCAUCAAGGGUAUCCUCAAGAAGGGCGGCAGCGGCGGCAGCAAGAUAUCGACGGGGGGAGCGGCUCCCGGGGCGCGGCGGGCCAGCCCGGCCCGCGAGGAGGACGAGCACGGUAAAAAAUCCCAGAAGUGGGAUGAAAUGAACAUCAUAGCUACCUACCACCCAGCAGGCAAAGAUUAUGGCUUGAUGAAAAUAGAUGAGCCAAGUACUCCUUAUCACAGCAUGGUGGGAGAAGAUGAUGAGGAUGCAGUGAGCGAUUCAGAAUCAAAUGAGCCUUUAAAAGCAGAUGUGUUAAGUAAAAAACUGGCAGCUGCAGCUGAAGGUAAAGGACCCAAGAUUAUUGCAAGGCAAGAAGAAAGCAGUGAGGAGGAGGAAGAGGACGAAGAACUAACACCCGAAGAACGAGAGAAAAAGAAACAGUUUGAAAUGAAGAGAAAAAUGCACUAUAACGAAGGACGAAACAUCAAACUGGCAAGACAGCUCAUUGCGAAGGAGCUGCAUGGUGAAGAAGAGGAUGAUGAUGAAGAUGAAGAGAUGCAUGAUGCUGCAGAUGUAGAAACAAUGAAUACAGAAGCUGCCGAACAUGGGGAACGGAGGGCUCCAGUAGGCAUGACCUUUCUCCAUGGUUUGAAGCUGCCAUCUCUCUGCUCUCUGCUGUAAAACAGAGGCAACUCCGCUCCCCAGCUGCAUUCGCCAGUGGAAGGAAGGCACACCUUUGCAGCAUUUUUCCAUUUCUGUUGUUGAAGCCCAUUCCACCUUGCCUCAUAACCAGCUUCAGAGCCACAACUGACUGAGAUUUCUUGCGGAUUGAGAUGAAGAUGGCUAGGCCAGUCAGUGAUGCACAUGCUACUCGUGACCAGCGGGAAAGUAGAGCACACAGCAUAGAAGAAAUCUGUCCAGAACUGUAACUGCUUGUCAAAGACACAAAUAUAAACAUCGCUUCAUGAUUUUUGCAAUUAAGGCUCUUGCAUAUUGAGAAGCAUAUCAGUUACAAUGUUGUAUUGCCAAGAAUUUUAAUUUUAGACUUGUCCAUUAGGCAGAAAAAAUCCUGUCUAAUUGAUUUAUUCUUGUGCCUAGUAUUUCAAGGAGAAUACUGCUUCAUAAUCUGUUCAACCACAAUGGCGUUCCCUGUAUGUAUUAUGCUGAUAAACUUGCAUAAUGUACUGUUAUUCUUCAUGCUUUGAAACAGUAUCUUUUGGUUUUUCACUAUUUAUUUGACGGUGUUCUAGGUGUGGUAUCUCUUGUGGAAAGGUUUGGGCUUCAAGAGCAAAACGGUACAGCAUAUAUCAGACUUACAUGCGGGCUAUUUAACAGAUGUGUUAAGCAGUUUAAAAAGGGAUUAUUUAAGUCUUACAACCUUUUUGUAAAAUGUUGACUUGUUUAUCUAGAUUUCAGCACGUUAUUACAUGUACUUUCCCAGUCUUUAGAAGAACAGCUGUAUCUUUUUAAGAGUGGUGUUUGGAAUCAGUUUCUGACUAAGGCAGUACUAAUGGUGGAGUGAAUGUUUUUACACUGGAAAUGUGCUAACUUGAACUUUGCAUUUAACUGUCAUUCUUUAUUCCAUUGGGACUGGAUGUUUUGUGGAGCCUUCUGGUUUAUCACAAGAAUAUAGAAGCUCCCUCCAACUGUUCUCUUAAAACAACAUCCACUGUCACUCCUCUGGCUCUUUUUCAAAGUUUUGGUCCUUUCCAGUUGCAUGAAGAGUGCUUGUGCUACUAGCACCUUAGGGAGAACACCCAAUUUAACCAAAUCUACAUCAGGACUGUGACAAUGAGUUUAGGCUUUUGCUGUUCUUCAUACAAAGAGAACUGAUGGUGAUCUUCUGUCCAUUUGGGGUUAGUAACCUGCAUACUGAAAACCACUGGUCUAAAUCUUCCUAUAUCCAUUGCAACUUACAGCAGCUGCUUUUGUAGAAUGAAGGCUGUUUGAAAGAACAGAAAGGAAACUGCCUAAUUCAAGUACUUGUUUACAGCCCCUGUAAAGAUGAAAUCUGAACCUCCAAAUCGUUAUGAACAACUUCCCACUCGAUGGAAUUUGACUGGUGAAUGUUUCGGUAUUCAGAUUAGUUCCUGAUUUUUGUUACACAAAUGAAGUAUACACUUACACUUCAGUUUGGUUAUGGAAUACAGUGUAUAUCUUAAUUUUGAUCUGAAUAUGAUAUGUUUAAAAAAAUCCAUAUAAUUAUAUGGAUCUAUUUUAAAAUAUCUCUUUGUCAACUGUAUAUGUGAAGUUUGAAUAAAGGAAUGAAAGUUAUUUUCCAGUUUCACAUUUUCAAGUGUGAGCUUUCAUGAAAUCCCAGAGAGAUUGAGAGUAAGGCAAUAGGAUGAUGUCCUUUGAAAGGUUUAUACAGAAAUGAUUCAUUGGAAUGGACGCAUUACCAAAGAUACCUGUGAGUUGUGCUAAUUGGGUGUUGCAGUGUGCCUUUCCCAUCUAUCUCCCCUCCUUAGUAGGUAACAGGGUUGGCAGUUGUGGGAUAUUUAGUCCUCUAAGGGCCUGAAUCAGGAUCAGUAGCGUCUUUUCAGAAGGAAGAGUUGAACUUUGGAUUCAGUCCAGUGUGUCGGUGCUGAUUUUUCCAAGAUGGAGAAUGCUGUUUCUUGUAUUGAGCAUGGUCACUUCUAGAGAAUAAAUAGGGCCAAAGAGUAAGCAUUUAGAUACUUCUGACUUCUAAGGUCACUUACUGUAGCAUUAGAUUUGGCUCCCAAGAAUAGGAUUUCAAAAUGUAAAGUUUGCACCGUUUCUGUACCAGCUUGCGGUGUUCAGCCCAUUGGAACAUCUGCGCUGACUUGUAUUGCAGCCCAGCCUGUCUGCCCCAGUGAAGGCAGUGGAGUCCUGCUGAGAGUGUGGCAGCAUUUGGCAGAGCUGUGUUGUUUUCAGGCUGGAGCACUAAUGGGUCAAGAUUUGACCAGUUGGUAUGGGUAAUGCAGAUGUCUUCUAUGAUGCUGUUAAACAGAUCACUUGUACUUUGUGGUAAGUACAAGUAGGUACUUCGUACCCACAAUUAAAGCUGAAUCCCUCAGAAGCAGCUCUUAUAUGAGCUAAUGUCCUGCUCUCCUUUGUUCCACGCUUCUGGUGUCCAGGACCUCAUUUUCAUUUUGGCAUUGAGUGGGGUAAUUUUGUAACCUACAAUGCCUGCAAAGCAUUUUGUUUAACAAACAAAAAAAGCCUUUGCUAUCUUCCAGUAAAGACCUUUCCUGGAAUUGCUCCCAAAAUCUUGGAUGAAAUAGGUGUGCAACUUUGAGGGAGCUACAGUAGAUGUAAAUCUGUUUUAUCUCAGAAUGUGUAGUAGGUAUUUUCAUCAGUCAGAUGAUUGUGAGCUGUCUGGGUGGUGUCCCUUCUUCUGUGCCAUCAAACCCCCAAGUGAUAUUUAGAUGCUGGUUUGGAACUUUGCUUUUAGUGGUGGGUUUUAUUCAAGGUUUUGUUCUCAUCUCUUUUCAAUGCUAGCAAAAAUUCUGUUAUUGCUUCAUCUUGGUCACCUGGAGUGCAACCCAAUGCUGCUUUUAAUGGAAAGUCUGGUUUACUUGAUUUUAUCCAGGCUUACACCUUCGUGGUUUUAAAAAGCUAAAGUAGGCAAGUUUACUCCACAGUGACGAGAGAUGCUCUAUAUUGCUUUUUUUUUACAAAGGGAUGUCUGAUUUCCUUCUACUGUGGAAAUAUCAAUUAUAGUUCCUCACUGAAUGGGGAUGAGAGAAGAAAUGCAUUUUCGUUUUUUACAUUUGAUGGGGACUUAGCCUGCGUGCAGGUCUUGAUGAGUGCAAAUGGCAAAAGCUUAUUCAAGAGGAAACAAGCCACGCAGCCCUUACUGAUGGGGACAUGGAGCUCCACAGCAUCAUCACAGUAAAGCUUCUUGCACAGGUCUAAGUCCUCACACUGCAUCCUGUUUAUAGAGAAAAUAAUUUCAGUAUGCUUCCACUAGGAAGAUGACUUGGGAAUAAGAGCCUUAACUCCAUCUUUGAAGUUUUUUCCUAUCCUUAUGAGUUUCUUUCAGGCCGGGUUGCCGAAGAUUCAUGGAAACUGCAAAUACUUUUUUUCACAGCUUGCUCUCCUCUGUUGAAUUUGUGUAUCUUGCCAGAACUUCUGUAACAUGCUUUUUGAGGUGUUUAUUACCAUACCUCCUCACAACUGUAAUUACUCUGUUUGAAACCAGUGUUAAGUGUCACAAUGUAAA